rnacentral:rRNA from 1 species
AUACGUAGGGGGCAAGCGUUGUCCGGAAUUAUUGGGCGUAAAGCGCGCGCAGGCGGUCUCCUAAGUCUGAUGUGAAAGCCCACGGCUCAACCGUGGAGGGUCAUUGGAAACUGGGAGACUUGAGUGUAGGAGAGGAAAGCGGAAUUCCACGUGUAGCGGUGAAAUGCGUAGAGAUGUGGAGGAACACCAGUGGCGAAGGCGGCUUUCUGGCCUAUAACUGACGCUGAGGCGCGAAAGCGUGGGGAGCAAACAGGAUUAGAUACCCUGGUAGUCCACGCCGUAAACGAUGAGUGCUAGGUGUUAGGGGUUUUUACACCCUUAGUGCCGUCGUUAACACAUUAAGCACUCCGCCUGGGGAGUACGGCCGCAAGGCUGAA